rnacentral:rRNA from 1 species
UACGUAGGGGGCUAGCGUUGUCCGGAUUUAUUGGGCGUAAAGAGCGUGUAGGCGGCCAGGUAGGUCUGGUGUGAAAACUCGAGGCUUAACCUCGAGAUGUCAUCGGAAACCAUUUGGCUAGAGUCCGGAAGAGGAGAGUGGAAUUCCUGGUGUAGCGGUGAAAUGCGCAGAUAUCGGGAAGAACACCCGUGGCGAAGGCGGCUCUCUGGGACGGUACUGACGCUGAGACGCGAAAGCGUGGGGAGCGAACAGG